GCUCAGGGCGAUGCUCUCUUACUGUCCUUCUGUUCUGACAGAGCAUUGCUUCAUCUCAUCUUCUAUUGGUUCCACUGCUCCAGGAUUCAUUAUGAGGAAAUUGAUUGGGUUUCACUUGGAUGUCUACCUAUUAGAACCUUAUAAAAAUGAGAAACAUAUUUUAGUUAUUAUUCCAUGGGUUAAUUAUCAGGAUCACAUCUAGUUCAUCAAAUAGAAAGCUGCCAUAAUCUGUAAGCUUGGAUCUUCUCCUGAUGAGUCAGCUUAGACUGAGACUUUGGCUCUUGGACUGCUUCUAGGAGGACUGUUCCUGGACCUUCUUCUUUGGAGUCUGUCUUGAGUGAGUAACUGGUCUUCCUUUCCUGCCUUCUGGAGAGAUUAGAUCUGGAGAGACCUUCACCUCUUAGAGCAGGCUGCAUGAGUG
rnacentral:lncRNA from 1 species